UACGUAGGGGGCAAGCGUUGUCCGGAAUCAUUGGGCGUAAAGAGCGUGUAGGCGGCCAAACAGGUCCGUUGUGAAAACUGGAGGCUCAACCUCCAGACGUCGACGGAAACCGUGUGGCUAGAGUCCGGAAGAGGAGAGUGGAAUUCCUGGUGUAGCGGUGAAAUGCGCAGAUAUCAGGAAGAACACCAAUGGCGAAGGCAGCUCUCUGGGACGGUACUGACGCUGAGACGCGAAAGCGUGGGGAGCGAACAGG
rnacentral:rRNA from 1 species